rnacentral:rRNA from 1 species
GAAGGAGAGCGGAAAUUUCCACCGUGUAAGCGGUGAAAUGGCGUAGAGGAUGUGGAGGAAACACCCAGUGGCGAAGGCGGCUCUCUGGUCUGUUACCCGACGCUGAGGCGCGAAAGCGUGGGGAGCGAACAGGAUUAGAUACCCUGGUAGUCCCACGCCGUAAACGAUGAGUGCUAAGUGUUAGAGGGUUUCCGCCCCUUAGUGCUGCAGCUAACGCAUUAAGCACUCCGCCUGGGGAGUACGGUCGCAAGACUGAAACUCAAAGGAAUUGACGGGGGCCCGCACAAGCGGUGGAGCAUGUGGUUUAAUUCGAAGCAACGCGAAGAACCUUACCAGGUCUUGACAUCUCCUGACAACCCUAGAGAUAGAGCGUUCCCCUUCGGGGGACAGAGUGACAGGUGGUGCAUGGUUGUCGUCAGCUCGUGUCGUGAGAUGUUGGGUUAAGUCCCGCAACGAGCGCAACCCUUGAUCUUAGUUGCCAGCAUUCAGUUGGGCACUCUAAGGUGUCUGCCGGUGACAAACCGGAGGAAGGUGGGGAUGACGUCAAAUCAUCAUGCCCCUUAUGUCCUGGGCUACACACGUGUUACAAUGGUCGGUACAAAGAGUCGCGAGACCGCGAGGUGGAGCUAAUCUCAUAAAACCGCUAAGAUUUGAAAAGUAAGCUUU